AAGGGAGUUGUGUUGACUAAAGAUAAUCUAGCUAAACGAAACUUGGAAUGGAAUUUAAAAUGUAGUUUAUGUAGUAACUUAGAAACUAUUCAUCACUUUUUCUUUGACUGUUGCUAUGCUAGAUUCAUUUGGAGACUUAUUUACUUCAAGUUUGUCAUAGAACCUCCUAGAAAUGUCACUCGUAUGUUUGGAUCUUGGCUUAAUGGCUUUGACACAUGA
rnacentral:rRNA from 1 species